UGGUCUGUGGUAAGUCACUGU
rnacentral:piRNA from 1 species